UUUUAUUUGAUUUUCUGCCUGCUAUUACCGUACCGUGCCAGAUAUGAUGAGAUGGCUGAAAAAAAAAUCCCAACCUUGAUAAGGGAUUGCAUAUUUGAAAGGAAAAUUUCACACACGGAAAAAAAAAAUCAGCUACUUAGAAAAUACUCCAGUGGGCCAUAUGCCAGAUACAAUGUUUAAGUGCUAAUCCACAGGUUCACAGAAUAAG